CAGCAUGUGCUCUUAAUCACAGAGUCAUUUCUCUAGCCUUCUACUGAAUUCUUAGUGUUUAACACUGAAUCUAGUAUGGUGAUGCAUCCCAGUAAAGACUUCUUAAAUCUACAUUUAAAAAAAAAGAUAGAAUACUAGAUGUGUAUGGUUAUAAAUCUUUAAGACACUCAGAAAGUAUCAGGAAGAAAUCAUACCAAAAUAAUAACGGCGCUUGCAUUAAGAUUAGGCAUGCUUUUCUUCAUCUGUUCUCUACUGCCUGUGAGUGUGUAGUGUAAAUGCACAGCCUUUCCAUUUUAGACCUUUCAGACGUGUGGUCAAAGUAGAUGUGUAGUAUCUGGAGGGUGGGAGGAUUGCUAGGAGGUGCUCCCUUCUGAAUAUGAAUGGCUGUGGAAAUCAUGAGCACACAGAAACUCUGGUGACCUGAACAAGCCCUGCACAGGCCCUUCAGCAUUCCAUCACAGAGGAAGGAAGGAGCUUAUAAGCCCCACCCCAUCCCCAGUCCCACGGGGCUAUUGGCAGCUAAUGGUAACCAGGGGAGGAGGGUCUCUUUCCCUGUGGUAUAGCCAUGGAAAGUUGUCCACACUCGGGUAAAUAACCCCCUACCUAUGCUUAUCAAGCACCUGUAAUUACACCUAGUGGGUCACAAAAAAAGACAUGGAGGUAGAAAGAAAGAAAGCUAGUUGGGGAGAACGAAAGUGUCACCAGGAGUGAGAGAAGGAUAAGAAGGGACAAAGAAGAUUGAUCAUAAUGCAUUGCAUUUAUCUAUGAAAUGGCCAAAGACGUUUUAAAAAACUGCUCCAGGAGUCCAAUUGGUGAGAAAGAGGAGGGUUUGUAUGAGCGAGAAUUGUUGAGACCAAGAUUGGAAAAAGUGCAACCAUUUUUUUAAAAGUAGAAGUGACAUACUAUUUCAACUCCCAGCCCUAAGAUGACUUAUUUCGACCUAUAUUGCAAAGGAAUUGCUCUAGGAACGAUGAUUCUGAAGGGUGCCCCAAAGUUGCCCCUGAUGUGAUUUGACCUACAUGUUGUUAGUUGGGGGGAGGGGUAUGACCCCACAGGAGAAUGGCUCAUUACUGCUCUGUCAGACUUCAGUAAUGAGCACACUAGUCACCUUGGCAGGUAGGCAUUAUCCAGGUGGCCUGUCUGCCCCAAGGAUGUGGGUUACAGAGAUGUCCCAUUGCUUCAUUGCUAAAGAUAAGUUGAGUCUGGGUAGCUUUCAUCAAGGUGAAGCUACCUGGCAUUCUGCGCGUUCUUAGCAUCCCUCAAGGGGAUAGAGAUGCCAAAGGCCUGAGGCUGUUUUCUCUAGGUCUAAAGAGCCAGACACCUAAGUGUUGUUGGGUGUUAGCUAAAGAGCUGGACCAUGCAUGAGGUCUGGGGAGAGGCACUGGUUCUGGAGCCCAUGUUGGAGAACUGCAGGAGCUAAAGGAUGAGGUGGUGUGUUUGUAAUGGUGGCAUAAGAGGAUGUUGAUCCCAAAAGCUAACAUACAUGGAGCUCCAGAUGGCGCAGGUGCUACGCAGCAUGUUUUACCUUCUGGAAAACUCCUACUUACCCUCUGUCUGGGCUGCAGACCCACCACCUGCUGUAAAGGCCGCAGGUGCCAGAAGCCUCCGUCCUUAGACCCCUCUGGGGCUAGACUAUGUAAGUGACUCCCCCACCCCAAUUCUCACCCAACGUCCAGCCACCUCAUAAUGCAAAAUGAAUUUAGUUCAUCUGGAGGAGUCCACUAAGUCUUAGUAGUUCUAACACUGUUCAAAGGGCCAAAGUCCAAAGUAUGCCUUGAGAUGUGAGGUAAUCUCUCAAUUGUAAGCCCCAUAAAAGAGUUUUCAUCUUUUCUGUUUACAGUGGCACUGAGUAAACACCCCUAUUCCAAAGAGAGGAUACCAAGGGAACAUCAGACCAAAACAAUCCCAAAGCCCCGUCACAUGUGAACACCAGGGUUCAGGUCUACAAAACGGCAGCUGUUCCCAUACCAACCAUUCACCCACUCCCCCCGUAACUCUGGAAAAGGGGAAGGUUCCCAAAUGUUGUGGAGAAUCGUCACAAAGGCUAGACAUAAGAGUGAUGUCUGGGGUCCUUCCCACUAACUUGUAAGCUGACUGGGACCAGGAACUUCGCUGCCUCUGUCUUUGGAGGCCCCGUGCCUGGCACACGAACUCUGGGCCCGCAGCUGCUGCAGGGAAUCCAGGAGUGUUAGCCAGGCCCUACUCACAGCAGUCGGAGCCUCAGCAAUAUAACAGGGAGUUGAAGCCAGCUUUAAAGAUAAAGUCUGCUCUUUGCGCUUAAAGCAAACAAACGGGAUGAUUCCAAAGAAGUCUCCGUGUGCCUUUUCCAAUCUGGUGGUUCAUUGACGAGAAGAGAUGGACACGUUUGCUUCCUCCAUUAAACUCGGAAUGAGAAACUUGUGGAGAGAACUUUGAAAGGCUAUAGGAGGGAGAGAGAACUCUCUUUUUUCUUUCGUCUGGGUGAUGUGGGCCCGCUCGAGAAGGAAAUGGAGGGACCUAGACCCAUCACACAAGAAGAUCCUGUGACUUACCUAACAGUGCCCAUGCACGACUUCCCAGGCAGUGACUGGGAGAUUCAGCCCAAGACAGACUAGAAAGCAGAUCUGGAAAAACCUCAGCCAGUUCAGACAGAGAUGCAGAGAAACACUGUCCACCAAAGGAGUGCCACCCUGAACAGGCACAGACAGAGCCAGGGUGGCCAUGCUAAGUGCCUGGCUCCAAGCUCCCUGAAGGAUUGUGGUUCAGAGCCAGAAGCCAUAGGAAUCGCAGUUGGUUUUGUUUUGUUUGUUUGUUUGUUUUAUGAAAGGUGUACUAUAAAUAAUGUUACAUUGAGAGAGGAAAUGCCCUUUUUUGGUGGCCAGUGAAGCUUUCAGAGCUGUCGACCAGAUUCCACGCUUGACUCCAGACACACAGCGGGCCUGACUACCUUAAGUGCCUUUCAAUCUCCUAAACUGUCCCUUUGUCCUAUUAUUGUCUCUGGGCCAUUUUGAAACCAUUUAAUUUUAUUCACUAGAACUUCUUUUUAAUUUUUCUUUCUAAUGAGAGAUUCCAGUUUUGUGCAGACAUCCGACCCGGGCUCCCUCCCACCUCCCACCCCCCUACUCCGCAUCCCGCACUCCCUCCAUUCCCCACCCCCACCGCCGCUCUCUUUAUGGUCAAUUGCGUUUCCUGUUUCCGUUGCUUCACUUCUGUGACUAGCUCCAUUCCUCAUCAGAGUGAAGAGUUCUGCCCCGGACACACCCUUCAGCCAGAGACUUCCGCAGAGCCUGCUGCACCGCCCCCCAUGGAGAGUGACUGGAAGUACAGAGAGCUGGAGCCCUGGAGCCGCGUUGCCACCCUGAGCAGAGAGCUUGGAGCUAUUAGGACCUUUAUGGGAAGCCUGAUAAAUGAAACUAACUGGUAAAAGACAAGGGCAGGACCCAAGACGCCGUGAGGGCGUCUAAACCUGGAGUCGACGUCUGAAUCCAGACCUGGCCUCCUCGAUUGUAUCUGUGCCCAAAGUUCUUUUUCCUUAAGCCCUUCUGAGUUGCUUUCAACUGACUUUGUUCUAACUAGAGUCCAACUACCAGGUUUUAAAGCUACUCAUUCGGAGCCCCCCGCCUCCUUUUAUUUGCCAAAGUCCCUGGAGUAACCAUUAAAUUAGUCCCAGAUGGUUUAUUAACAUCAGCCAAGCACUUUCAAAAUAAAAAUAAAAAGCAGUAUUUUUGUUUUAAUUAA